rnacentral:tRNA from 1 species
UCCCUGGUGGCUCAGAUGGCAAAGCGUCUGCCUGCAAUGCGGGAGACCUGGGUUCGAUUCCUGGGUUGGGAA